GGUUAAGCGACUAAGCGUACACGGUGGAUGCCCUGGCAGUCAGAGGCGAUGAAGGACGUGCUAAUCUGCGAAAAGCGUCGGUAAGGUGAUAUGAACCGUUAUAGCCGGCGAUGUCCGAAUGGGGAAACCCAGUGCAAUUCGUUGCACUAUCGUUAACUGAAUACAUAGGUUAACGAGGCGAACCGGGGGAACUGAAACAUCUAAGUACCCCGAGGAAAAGAAAUCAACCGAGAUUCCCCCAGUAGCGGCGAGCGAACGGGGAGCAGCCCGGAGUCUGAAUCAGCUUGUGUGUUAGUGGAAGCGUCUGGAAAGUCGCAGGGUACAGGGUGAUACUCCCGUACACUAAAACACACAGGUUGUGAACUCGAAGAGUAGGGCGGGACACGUGGUAUCCUGUCUGAAUAUGGGGGGACCAUCCUCCAAGGCUAAAUACUCCUGACUGACCGAUAGUGAACCAGUACCGUGAGGGAAAGGCGAAAAGAACCCCGGCGAGGGGAGUGAAAAAGAACCUGAAACCGUGUACGUACAAGCAGUAGGAGCCCACUAGUUGGGUGACUGCGUACCUUUUGUAUAAUGGGUCAGCGACUUAUAUUCUGUAGCAAGGUUAACCGUAUAGGGGAGCCGCAGGGAAACCGAGUCUUAACUGGGCGUUAAGUUGCAGGGUAUAGACCCGAAACCCGGUGAUCUAGCCAUGGGCAGGUUGAAGGUUGGGUAACACUAACUGGAGGACCGAACCGACUAAUGUUGAAAAAUUAGCGGAUGACUUGUGGCUGGGGGUGAAAGGCCAAUCAAACCGGGAGAUAGCUGGUUCUCCCCGAAAGCUAUUUAGGUAGCGCCUCGUGAACUCAUCUUCGGGGGUAGAGCACUGUUUCGGCUAGGGGGUCAUCCCGACUUACCAACCCGAUGCAAACUACGAAUACCGAAGAAUGUUAUCACGGGAGACACACGGCGGGUGCUAACGUCCGUCGUGAAGAGGGAAACAACCCAGACCGCCAGCUAAGGUCCCAAAGUCAUGGUUAAGUGGGAAACGAUGUGGGAAGGCCCAGACAGCCAGGAUGUUGGCUUAGAAGCAGCCAUCAUUUAAAGAAAGCGUAAUAGCUCACUGGUCGAGUCGGCCUGCGCGGAAGAUGUAACGGGGCUAAACCAUGCACCGAAGCUGCGGCAGCGACACUAUGUGUUGUUGGGUAGGGGAGCGUUCUGUAAGCCGUUGAAGGUGGCCUGUGAGGGUUGCUGGAGGUAUCAGAAGUGCGAAUGCUGACAUAAGUAACGAUAAUGCGGGUGAAAAACCCGCACGCCGGAAGACCAAGGGUUCCUGUCCAACGUUAAUCGGGGCAGGGUGAGUCGACCCCUAAGGCGAGGCCGAAAGGCGUAGUCGAUGGGAAACAGGUUAAUAUUCCUGUACUCGGUGUUACUGCGAAGGGGGGACGGAGAAGGCUAUGUUGGCCGGGCGACGGUUGUCCCGGUUUAAGCAUGUAGGCGGAUGUUCCAGGUAAAUCCGGAACGUUAUUAACGCUGAGGUGUGAUGACGAGGCACUACGGUGCUGAAGUGACAAAUGCCCUGCUUCCAGGAAAAGCCUCUAAGCAUCAGGUAACAUCAAAUCGUACCCCAAACCGACACAGGUGGUCAGGUAGAGAAUACCAAGGCGCUUGAGAGAACUCGGGUGAAGGAACUAGGCAAAAUGGUGCCGUAACUUCGGGAGAAGGCACGCUGAUGGUAGGUGAAGUGACUUGCUCAUGGAGCUGAAAUCAGUCGAAGAUACCAGCUGGCUGCAACUGUUUAUUAAAAACACAGCACUGUGCAAACACGAAAGUGGACGUAUACGGUGUGACGCCUGCCCGGUGCCGGAAGGUUAAUUGAUGGGGUUAUCCGUAAGGAGAAGCUCUUGAUCGAAGCCCCGGUAAACGGCGGCCGUAACUAUAACGGUCCUAAGGUAGCGAAAUUCCUUGUCGGGUAAGUUCCGACCUGCACGAAUGGCGUAAUGAUGGCCAGGCUGUCUCCACCCGAGACUCAGUGAAAUUGAACUCGCUGUGAAGAUGCAGUGUACCCGCGGCAAGACGGAAAGACCCCGUGAACCUUUACUAUAGCUUGACACUGAACACUGGUCCUUGAUGUGUAGGAUAGGUGGGAGGCUUUGAAGUGUGGACGCCAGUCUGCAUGGAGCCAUCCUUGAAAUACCACCCUUUAAUGGCUGGUGUUCUAACGUGGGCCCCUAAUCGGGGUUGCGGACAGUGUCUGGUGGGUAGUUUGACUGGGGCGGUCUCCUCCUAAAGAGUAACGGAGGAGCACGAAGGUCAGCUAAUCCUGGUCGGACAUCAGGAGGUUAGUGCAAUGGCAUAAGCUGGCUUGACUGCGAGCGUGACGGCGCGAGCAGGUGCGAAAGCAGGUCAUAGUGAUCCGGUGGUUCUGAAUGGAAGGGCCAUCGCUCAACGGAUAAAAGGUACUCCGGGGAUAACAGGCUGAUACCGCCCAAGAGUUCAUAUCGACGGCGGUGUUUGGCACCUCGAUGUCGGCUCAUCACAUCCUGGGGCUGAAGUAGGUCCCAAGGGUAUGGCUGUUCGCCAUUUAAAGUGGUACGCGAGCUGGGUUUAGAACGUCGUGAGACAGUUCGGUCCCUAUCUGCCGUGGGCGCUGGAGAAUUGAGGGGGGCUGCUCCUAGUACGAGAGGACCGGAGUGGACGCAUCACUGGUGUUCGGGUUGUCAUGCCAAUGGCAUUGCCCGGUAGCUAAAUGCGGAAGAGAUAAGUGCUGAAAGCAUCUAAGCACGAAACUUGCCCCGAGAUGAGUUCUCCCUGACUCCCUGAGAGUCCUGAAGGAACGUUGAAGACGACGACGUUGAUAGGCCGGGUGUGUAAGCGCAGCGAUGCGUUGAGCUAACCGGUACUAAUGAACCGUGAGGCUUAACCUU
rnacentral:rRNA from 1 species